UACGUAGGGUGCAAGCGUUGUCCGGAAUUAUUGGGCGUAAAGAGCUCGUAGGCGGUCUGUCGCGUCUGCUGUGAAAACCUAGGGCUUAACUCUGGGCGUGCAGUGGGUACGGGCAGGCUAGAGUGCGGUAGGGGAGACUGGAAUUCCUGGUGUAGCGGUGAAAUGCGCAGAUAUCAGGAGGAACACCGAUGGCGAAGGCAGGUCUCUGGGCCACUACUGACGCUGAGAAGCGAAAGCAUGGGGAGCGAACAGG
rnacentral:rRNA from 1 species